UACGUAGGGUGCAAGCGUUAAUCGGAAUUACUGGGCGUAAAGCGUGCGAAGGCGGUUUUGUAAGUCUGUCGUGAAAUCCCCGGGCUCAACCUGGGAAUUGCGAUGGAGACUGCAAGGCUAGAAUCUGGCAGAGGGGGGUAGAAUUCCACGUGUAGCAGGGAAAUGCGUAGAGAUGUGGAGGAACACCGAUGGCGAAGGCAGCCCCCUGGGUCAAGAUUGACGCUCAUGCACGAAAGCGUGGGGAGCAAACAGG
rnacentral:rRNA from 1 species